rnacentral:tRNA from 1 species
AAUGGCAUAGUGGUUAAGCGCUUGGCUGCUAACCAAAAGGUUGGUGGUUAAAACCCACUUU